GAUCCGACGGCUCGGUGCUUGA
rnacentral:rRNA from 1 species